rnacentral:rRNA from 1 species
AUGGCCACCCCCUCCAGUUUCAAGGUCACGCCGUUCGCCAGGCUCACGGAGAACACCGAGUUCGACUUCCGUGGCUUGUACUUGCGCAACAUCGUCUUCGGAAAGAACCCCAACCGAGCACUCUUGGUAGACCUGAAUGCUUCCAUUGGGUGGGGCUCGACGAGCGUGGUCAACUGGACGAUAUACGAUGGCACUUGCCCAGACGCGCAGCUAGUUGGCCGUGCCCGAGGCCUGCAGGUCGAUGACGAUGGAUGGCAUAAUUCCCUCACCCUUGCGUUCGAGAGUGGAAGUUAUUCUAAGAGCUUGCCCAUGCUCACAAGAGCUGGCCCAUGGGGUGGAGCUGGUGACUACACUACUUACAAAGACGAGUUAGAAGAAUCAUGGCGCAUACAAAGUAUGACGAUCGUCCAGGACCAGGGGAUAAUUGCUAUGUUUGAAUGCACUUAUGUUGACCUGUCUGGCAAGAGGCGCACCACGGGUGCUUGGGGUGCUAGUCAUGGUCAUCGCGUCCUUAAUAAGAUCGAGCUGGGGCCUCAAGAGGUUUUGCAAGCACUAUCAGGAACUUAUGUCGACCAUAAUGAGGAGACUGUUAUAGAGUCACUUAAGUUUGUCACCAACGAAGACGAGUACGGGCCUUAUGGACGCACAACUGGUAUUCCUUUCAACUAUGACGUGCCUGAAGACCGAAGCAUCGUUGGCUUCUUCGGGCGUCAUGGAGGUAAACUCAUCGCGAUUGGAGUUUACAUGGUCUAG